CAGAGACUGCAAGCGUUAUUCGGAUUCACUGGGCGUAAAGGGUGCGCAGGCGGCCGGGUGUGUGAGGCGUGAAAGCCCGAUGCUUAACAUCGGAAUUGCACCUCAAACUACACGGCUAGAGCAUUGGAGAGGGUAGCGGAAUUCACGGUGUAGCAGUGAAAUGCGCAGAUAUCGUGAGGAACACCAGAGGCGAAGGCGGCUACCUGGACAAUUGCUGACGCUCAGGCACGAAAGCGUGGGGAGCAAAAGGGAUUAGAUACCCCUGUAGUCCACGCCCUAAACGGUGCACACUAGGUCUUGGCGGAUUCGACCCCACCAGGGCCCCAGCUAACGCGUUAAGUGUGCCGCCUGAGGACUACGGUCGCAAGACUA
rnacentral:rRNA from 1 species